rnacentral:rRNA from 1 species
AAUGGGUCAGCGACUUAUAUUCUGUAGCAAGGUUAACCGAAUAGGGGAGCCGAAGGGAAACCGAGUCUUAACUGGGCGUUAAGUUGCAGGGUAUAGACCCGAAACCCGGUGAUCUAGCCAUGGGCAGGUUGAAGGUUGGGUAACACUAACUGGAGGACCGAACCGACUAAUGUUGAAAAAUUAGCGGAUGACUUGUGGCUGGGGGUGAAAGGCCAAUCAAACCGGGAGAUAGCUGGUUCUCCCCGAAAGCUAUUUAGGUAGCGCCUCGUGAAUUCAUCUCCGGGGGUAGAGCACUGUUUCGGCAAGGGGGUCAUCCCGACUUACCAACCCGAUGCAAACUGCGAAUACCGGAGAAUGUUAUCACGGGAGACACACGGCGGGUGCUAACGUCCGUCGUGAAGAGGGAAACAACCCAGACCGCCAGCUAAGGUCCCAAAGUCAUGGUUAAGUGGGAAACGAUGUGGGAAGGCCCAGACAGCCAGGAUGUUGGCUUAGAAGCAGCCAUCAUUUAAAGAAAGCGUAAUAGCUCACUGGUCGAGUCGGCCUGCGCGGAAGAUGUAACGGGGCUAAACCAUGCACCGAAGCUGCGGCAGCGACACUAUGUGUUGUUGGGUAGGGGAGCGUUCUGUAAGCCUGUGAAGGUGUGCUGUGAGGCAUGCUGGAGGUAUCAGAAGUGCGAAUGCUGACAUAAGUAACGAUAAAGCGGGUGAAAAGCCCGCUCGCCGGAAGACCAAGGGUUCCUGUCCAACGUUAAUCGGGGCAGGGUGAGUCGACCCCUAAGGCGAGGCCGAAAGGCGUAGUCGAUGGGAAACAGGUUAAUAUUCCUGUACUUGGUGUUACUGCGAAGGGGGGACGGAGAAGGCUAUGUUGGCCGGGCGACGGUUGUCCCGGUUUAAGCGUGUAGGCUGGUUUUCCAGGCAAAUCCGGAAAAUCAAGGCUGAGGCGUGAUGACGAGGCACUACGGUGCUGAAGCAACAAAUGCCCUGCUUCCAGGAAAAGCCUCUAAGCAUCAGGUAACAUCAAAUCGUACCCCAAACCGACACAGGUGGUCAGGUAGAGAAUACCAAGGCGCUUGAGAGAACUCGGGUGAAGGAACUAGGCAAAAUGGUGCCGUAAC